rnacentral:rRNA from 1 species
CCUACGGGAGGCAGCAGUGAGGAAUAUUGGUCAAUGGGCGCAAGCCUGAACCAGCCAAGUAGCGUGAGGGAUGACUGCCCUACGGGUUGUAAACUUCUUUUAUAAGGGAAUAAUAAUGACUACGUGUAGUCAGUUGCAUGUACCUUAUGAAUAAGCAUCGGCUAACUCCGUGCCAGCAGCCGCGGUAAUACGGAGGAUGCGAGCGUUAUCCGGAUUUAUUGGGUUUAAAGGGAGCGUAGGCGGUAUUUUAAGCUAGUGGUAAAACGUCGGGGCUUCACCGUGAUUUGCAAUUAAAACUGGAGUACUAGAGUACAGAGGAGGUAGGCGGAAUUAGUUGAGUAGCGGUGAAAUGCUUAGAUAUGACGAAGAACCCCGAUAGCGAAGGCAGCUUACCAAACUGUAACUGACGCUGAUGCUCGAGAGCGUGGGUAUCGAACAGGAUUAGAUACCCGUGUAGUC